rnacentral:lncRNA from 1 species
CUGUACAUGUAUUACUAUUACUUAACCUGCUUCAGGAUUUUUUAAAAUUUUUAUUUCCCACAUUUGGACAGAUACAACCAAGAAAGGAGGAAAGAAGAAGGGUGGUUCUAUGCAGACUGUGUCCUCCCAGUUCAGGGAGAACUUGGGCAAACUGAUGACCAACCUGAGGAGCAUCUCAUCCCCACUUUGUGCGCUGCCUGAUCCCCAAUGAGUCCAAGACUCCAGGUAUCCAAUGAAACAUUUAAAUAAAUAUUAAGUCUUAUCAGUAUGGUGUCUAUAAAUUUAAGGAAGACUAAUCUUUAGCUAGUUUCCAAAUAUAACAGAGACUUGGUUCAUUCUUCCAGGUCUGAUGAGAACUUCCUGGUCAUCCACCAGCUCAGUGUAACGGUGUACUGAGGGCAUCAGGAUCUGCAGGAAGGGCUUCCCAAGCAGAAUCAUCUACGCUGACUUCAAGCAGAGGUACAUGCAAACAAAUGUACAUGUAAUGAAAGAUUAGCUUUUAUGUAAUACAACCUGGCUAGAACUUAGAUUGUCUUCGAUUUAGGUACAAAGUACUGAUGCCAGUGUCAUCCCUGAGGUCAGUUCAUGGACAACAAGAAGGCUUCUGAGAAGCUGCUUGGGUCCAUUGAUGUGAAUCAUGAGGACUACAAGUUUGGGGACACACCAAGGUGUUCUUCAAAGCCGGUCUUCUGGGCGUCCUGGAAGAGAUGAGAGAUGAGAAGCUGCCUCUCUGGUCGGCAUGCUCCAGGCUCUUAGCCGUGGAUUGCCUCAUGAGGAGAGAGUUCUCCAAGAUGAUGGAGAGGAGGUGAAAGCUACAUGUCAACCAAUGUAUUCUGAUUACAUACUGUAUAUGCUGUGAUCUACUCACAGUAAGAAAGUAUUAGAAUUGUAAUUAAAA